UGUAACAACGGUGCAUGCAUGUGGAU
rnacentral:piRNA from 1 species